rnacentral:rRNA from 1 species
UGGGGAAUAUUGCACAAUGGGCGCAAGCCUGAUGCAGCCAUGCCGCGUGUGUGAAGAAGGCCUUCGGGUUGUAAAGCACUUUCAGCGAGGAGGAAGGUGGUGAGCUUAAUACGCUCAUCAAUUGACGUUACUCGCAGAAGAAGCACCGGCUAACUCCGUGCCAGCAGCCGCGGUAAUACGGAGGGUGCAAGCGUUAAUCGGAAUUACUGGGCGUAAAGCGCACGCAGGCGGUUUGUUAAGUCAGAUGUGAAAUCCCCGGGCUCAACCUGGGAACUGCAUUUGAAACUGGCAAGCUAGAGUCUCGUAGAGGGGGGUAGAAUUCCAGGUGUAGCGGUGAAAUGCGUAGAGAUCUGGAGGAAUACCGGUGGCGAAGGCGGCCCCCUGGACGAAGACUGACGCUCAGGUGCGAAAGCGUGGGGCAGCAAACAGGAUUAGAUACCCUGGUAGUCCACGCUGUAAACGAUGUCGAUUUGGAGGUUGUGCCCCUUGAGGCGUGGCUUCCGGAGCUAACGCGUUAAAUCGACCGCCUGGGGAGUACGGCCGCAAGGUUAAAACUCAAAGGAAUU